rnacentral:miRNA from 1 species
UGAGGCAGGAGAAUUGCUUGAACCCAGGAAGCGGAGGUUGCAGUGAGCCGAGAUUGUGCCACUGCACUCCAGCCUGGGUGACAGAGCAAGACUCCGUCUC